rnacentral:rRNA from 1 species
AGGAUGAACGCUGGCGGCGUGCCUAAUACAUGCAAGUCGAGCGAACAGACGAGGAGCUUGCUCCUCUGACGUUAGCGGCGGACGGGUGAGUAACACGUGGAUAACCUACCUAUAAGACUGGGAUAACUUCGGGAAACCGGAGCUAAUACCGGAUAAUAUAUUGAACCGCAUGGUUCAAUAGUGAAAGACGGUUUUGCUGUCACUUAUAGAUGGAUCCGCGCCGCACUAGCUAGUUGGUAAGGUAACGGCUUACCAAGGCAACGAUGCGUAGCCGACCUGAGAGGGUGAUCGGCCACACUGGAACUGAGACACGGUCCAGACUCCUACGGGAGGCAGCAGUAGGGAAUCUUCCGCAAUGGGCGAAAGCCUGACGGAGCAACGCCGCGUGAGUGAUGAAGGUCUUCGGAUCGUAAAACUCUGUUAUUAGGAAGAACAAAUGUAGUAAGUAACUAUGCACGUCUUGACGGUACCUAAUACAGAAAGCCACGGCUAACUACGUACCAGAC